CCUACGGGAGGCAGCAGUAGGGAAUCUUUCACAAUGGGCGAAAGCCUGAUGGAGCAACGCCGCGUGCAGGAUGAAGGCCUUCGGUUUGUAAACUGCUUUUAUAAGCGGGAAAUAUGAUGGUAACUUAUGAAUAAGGAUCGUCUAACUACGUGCCAGCAGCCGCGGUCAUAAGUAGGAUCCGAGCAUUAUCCGGAGUGACUGAGUGUAAAGAGUUGCGUAGGUGGGCUAAUAAGUAGCUAGGGAAAUCUGGUGGCUCAAACAUUCAGACCAUUAGCUAAACUGUUAAGCUCGAGAUCGUUAGGGGUAAGUGGAAUUUCUAGUGUAGGAGUGAAAUCCGUAGAUAUCAGAAGGAACACCAAUAGCGUAGGCAGGUUACUGGGACGGUUCUGACACUAAGGCACGAAAGCGUAGGGAGCAAACGGGAUUAGAUACCCGAGUAGUC
rnacentral:rRNA from 1 species